rnacentral:lncRNA from 1 species
AGAGAGAGAGAGAGAGAGAGAGAGAGAGAGAGAGAGAGAGAUUCAAUAAAUCUGCAGUCUUCACAAAAAGGUAUACUUUUUCCAUAUUUUUCUUUCGGACUUGUCAAGUUUUGUGUUCUGUUGAAAACAUACAUUGUUUUUUGAUUGGGCUUUUCAAUGAAUCCGUAGUCUUUUAAGUUUACCUGAUAGUUUAUCUAUGCUGACAAAUUGAGAUAAAUAAAUUUUGCAUGGCAAAUUUGAGAUUUAAACCUACAUGGUUUUAAUUCCAUAAAUUAAAAUGAUUGUAUUGUGCCUUGUUGGAAAUAUGAUAUUUGAGGCUAUAUGGUUCAAAAAUCGAUAAAUUCGAAAUAUGAUGGAUGGUAUUUUGCCCGAAUGAUAUUGGAUAUGAAAUUUGAUAUUUAGAUUAUGUGGUCCAAAAUUUGAUAAAAUGAAUUGACGGAUAAUGACAUUGGAUGCGAAAUUUGAUAUUUGGAUUAUGUGGUUCGAAAUUUAAUAAACUGAAUUCACGGC